rnacentral:snoRNA from 1 species
CCUUCUUAAAAAGCACUUGCAGGGUCUGUGUUCAGUGGCCCAGUGAGUUGUCGUGGAAUGGUACAGUAAAGCAUUGCUUUUGGGUGAGGUGGCAGUGUGUACUGUUAACCUCAAUCAGCAGUGUGACAAAG